rnacentral:misc_RNA from 1 species
UGUGGGAGCUGGCUUGCCUGCGAUGCAGACGGCUCGGUUUAACGUCGAACCGAGUUGAUGCCAUCGCAGGCAAGCCAGCUCCCACA